GUGCUUGCUUUGGCAGCACAUAUACUAAAAUUGGGAUGAUACACAAAAGAUUAGCAUGGCCCCUGCACAUGGAUGACACGCAAAUUCGUGAAGCGUUCCGUAUUUUG
rnacentral:snRNA from 1 species